rnacentral:tRNA from 1 species
GAGGAUAUAGCUCAGUGGUAGAGUGCAUGCUUAGCACGCAUAAGGAGCUGGGUUCAACCCCCAGUACCUCCA